ACUGACGCUGAGAUGCGAAAGCGUGGGGAGCAAACAGGAUUAGAUACCCUGGUAGUCCACGCUGUAAACGAUGUCGAUUUGGAGUUUGGGGGCAUGACCCUUGGGCUCCGGAGCUAACGCGUUAAAUCGACCGCCUGGGGAGUACGGCCGCAAGGUUAAAACUCAAAUGAAUUGACGGGGGCCCGCACAAGCGGUGGAGCAUGUGGUUUAAUUCGAUGCAACGCGAAGAACCUUACCUGGUCUUGACAUCCAUAGAAUCUUGUAGAGAUACGAGAGUGCCUUCGGGAGCUAUGAGACAGGUGCUGCAUGGCUGUCGUCAGCUCGUGUUGUGAAAUGUUGGGUUAAGUCCCGCAACGAGCGCAACCCUUAUCCUUUGUUGCCAGCGGGUAAAGCCGGGAACUCAAAGGAGACUGCCGUUGAUAAAGCGGAGGAAGGUGGGGACGACGUCAAGUCAUCAUGGCCCUUACGACCAGGGCUACACACGUGCUACAAUGGCGUAUACAAAGGGAAGCGAAGGUGCGAACUGGAGCGGACCUCCUAAAGUACGUCUAAGUCCGGAUUGGAGUCUGCAACUCGACUCCAUGAAGUCGGAAUCGCUAGUAAUCGUGAAUCAGAAUGUCACGGUGAAUACGUUCCCGGGCCUUGUACACACCGCCCGUCACACCAUGGGAGUGGGUUGCACCAGAAGUAGAUAGCUUAACCGCAAGGGGGGCGUUUACCACGGUGUGAUUCAUGACUGGGGUGAAGUCGUAACAAGGUAACCA
rnacentral:rRNA from 1 species